UUGCUGUGCAGGCGACACAGUGCCUAGAGAGGGCGUGGAGUGUUCAUCCCUGGAGAUAUUUUUAAAAUACCCAACAAAACACCAAAACACAAAAGGACGGAAUCCUGUUCCGUUUGCUCUGGGAUGACCCUUCUGGACCACAGCAGGCCUCUAUCAGCCUGACUCCGUGUGUGAUUCUGGAAGUCCGAGACGGUGGCGCUUCCGGGCAGAGAGCUGCGCUUCCGGGGCAGAGAGCUGCGGUUCUGGGGCAGAGCGGCGCUUCCGGGCAGAGAGCUGCGGUUCCCGGGCAGAGAGCUGCGGUUCCGGGCAUUGAGGGGUUUGAGCAGCAGCUCCGGGAAGGAACCGGCGGCGGGUCUGAGACAGAGGGGCAGGUGCGGGGCAGAGCAGCGAGUCCCGGAAGGGACCGGCGGUGGGUCCGGUCACUGAGUGGCGGCUCCGGGGCUGAGCGGCGGUCCCGGGCAGAGCGGCCGUGUGUCCCGGCGUUGAGGGGCGGUCCCGGGCAGAGCCCGGCUCCGGCAGCCCAGGCUCGGGGCCAUGGAGGAGCAGCAGCGGCGGGCGCUGCGGCGCGGGCGGGCCCGGCUGGUGGCGGCGCUGCGGGUGGAGCCGCUCUGGGACCCGCUGGAGCAGCGCGGGCUCUUCACCCGGCCAAUGCUGGAGGAGCUGCAGAGCACUGGCAGCCGAGGGGAGCAAGCCCGGCAGCUGAUCAUUGACCUGGAGACUCGAGGGAAGCAGGCUUUCCCUGCCUUCCUCUCCAUCCUGCGGGACACUGGGCAGGGCGACCUCGCCGACAUGCUGAUCCAGGAGUGCGAAUCCCGGCCGGUGCCACCACUGCUGACGGACCUGCGACCCGUGGAGCUGCGGGAGGAUAAACAGCAUAAAAAUGUGACCCCUCAUGAACGUUUGUCUAUCCCAGUCCAAGCCGAGAGUGAAAGACUUCAAAUGCCUUCUGUGCCAGCCUGGGGUUCUGCUGUUGACAAGAGGAGCCGUGACCAGUAUUAUGAGAUGAAAGCGGAUCCCUGCGGACACUGCCUGAUCAUCAACAAUGUCAGUUUCUCCAGAGACUUGGGUCUGUCCACCCGAGAAGGCUCUGACAUUGACUGUGAGAAGCUGGAGAGGCGCUUCAAGGCCUUGCGCUUCACCGUCCUGACCCGGCGGGAUCUGAAAGCUCAGGAAAUGGUGUUGGAGCUGCUGAAGCUGUCUCGGCAGGACCACAGUGCUUUAGACUGCUGCAUUGUGGUCAUCCUUUCCCAUGGCUGUCAGACGAGCCAUAUUCAGUUUCCUGGAGGCGUUUAUGGAACGGAUGGAAAACCCAUUCCCAUAGAAAAGAUUGUGAACUAUUUCAAUGGGUCCAAUUGCCCGAGUUUGAGAGGAAAACCCAAACUGUUCUUCAUCCAGGCCUGUGGUGGAGAACAAAGGGAUCAAGGCUUUGUAGUGGAUUGUGAUUCGCCUGAAGAGGAAGCUCCUGGGGGUUCCUUGGAAUCUGACGCGACCCCGUUUCGGGUUUCAUUGGAUAACGUAGAUGAGCCCGAUGCCAUUGCCAGUUUGCCCACACCUAGUGACAUCUUGGUUUCCUACUCAACUUUUCCAGGUUUUGUCUCCUGGAGGGAGAAGUCGAGUGGCUCGUGGUAUGUGGAAAUGCUGGACAGUGUGCUGGAACAGUAUGCCCAUUCGGAAGACCUGCUCAGCAUGUUAGUGAGGGUGGCACAUGCUGUCUCUGCCAAGGGGAGGUACAAGCAGAUCCCAGGAUGUUUCAAUUUCCUCCGUAAAAAAUUUUUCUUCAUGUGCCACUGACACGUGGGCUCCGAGCCCCCUGCCAAGCACUGGAGAUUCUUCCUGUGGCUGAAUGAAGUCUGUGCCCACCACGACUUGGUGUCAGUGCUCCCUGUGGAUUUUGUCUGUGUGUCCAGAUGUUUGUCUGGAGAAAUGUGAUCCGCGAGCGCUGGCUUUGCCAUGGAGUGGAGAUGAGAUGGAGAUUGUGCUGUGCCAAUGGGAAAUGUUGUGGAUGGAGCAGGAAGUCCCUUUGCUGGAGAAGAGAGCCAGAGGAGAGCACUUCUGGCUCAUCCUGACACAACCACACUCGGCCUCAGAGUGUUUUUCUUUGCUGAUCAUGAAAUUUGUGUCCUGUGCUGUCCAGCACUUCCUGAAGGCUCCUCUGAAGUGGGAAGAGUAGGAACCUUCAUUCAUGUCUGUGCUGCUCUGUCUGGUCAUUUACAAUGUGGCUGUGCAGGCUAUGGAACAUCCUGAUCCUUUUGAGGAGUCAGUUGGGAGUUACAGCAGGAAACUGAUGAGGAUUCAUUGAAAUACCAGUGCUGAGGUGCUUUGAGGGUGCUGCAAGAGGAAGCCAAGCCUGCCCUGAGCAUCCCAAGGAGGGUCCAGCUGGAGCUGGGGUGUGGCUGUGAUGGCCUUGCCUGUUCUCAGGUGUUUGUGAGAGCUCCUGGUUGUCUCCUUCUCUGUUCCCCUUCUCCAUCCCCCAAGGGAGUGGGGCUCUAGGCUGCCCUGUCCCGUGUUGUCCAGCUUUGUACAGAGCAUCUGGGUGUGCAGGUGAUCCCAAGGCUGAUCCCAUCUCCUCUGGACCUGUUGUCCUUCAGGAAAGGUUGCAGCCCAGGCCGGAGCCGAAGCUGACAAUGCCGUCGACCUCCCAGAUCCCAUCAUCGCGCUGGCAGUUCAGGGGGCCCCCAGAAUCGCCCUGUGCAGAGAGACAGUGUGGGCCAUCGCUCCUGGGCACCCUGUUGGCACACCCCACAUCCCACACAGCAACCACCACUGUCAUAGGCAGGUAGAAGAAUUAUAAAAGAAAGGCCUUAUGAAAUCAGACCUCGCUCUGCUAAAAUUGCCAAAGCUGGCCUGUCAUUUCUUCUAAGUGCAGCUAACAAGUGAUUUGCAAGUUCCCAUGUGAAGCUAUUUUGCAAAUGAGAGGUUCGUUUAAUGCAACAAUCUAUUCUGAGGGUGAAAAACAAAUGCACCUCUGUAAACAAUAAGAUUUGUCCCAUGAGAACUCACAGAGGGAAAACGGAAACAUAUCUAGAGAGAGAAAAUUUGGUAGACUUAAUCAACAGCGCUUACCAACCAGUGAACUGAAUUUUACUGUAUUGCUGGCCAGUUAGGAUUAACACAGUGCCUUCUGAUACUUCCUAUAAAUGUGAGUUUUGUGGAUAAAAAAUUUGCUUUCUGCAUGAACAAAA